AGAAUCAACGCUGGCGGCGUGCCUAACACAUGCAAGUCGAACGAGAAAGGGGUAGCAAUACCCUGAGUAAAGUGGCGCACGGGUGAGUAACACGUGACUAACCUACCCUUGAGUGGGGGAUAACUGAGGGAAACCUUAGCUAAUACCGCAUAAUACCCACGGGUCAAAGGAGCAAUUCGCUCGAGGAGGGGGUCGCGGCCGAUUAGUUAGUUGGCGGGGUAAUGGCCCACCAAGACGAUGAUCGGUAUCCGGCCUGAGAGGGCGCACGGACACACUGGAACUGAAACACGGUCCAGACUCCUACGGGAGGCAGCAGUGGGGAAUUUUGCGCAAUGGGGGAAACCCUGACGCAGCAACGCCGCGUGGAGGAUGAAGUCCUUCGGGACGUAAACUCCUUUCGAUCGGGACGAUUAUGACGGUACCGGAAGAAGAAGCCCCGGCUAACUUCGCGCCAGCAGCCUC
rnacentral:rRNA from 1 species